GCAAAUGGUGGCAUGAGCAGGGACAUGAUCCAAGCCUUUGCCGUAUAUGAACUUGGGAGAGUGCAGACACAGGCCUGAGCCAUUUUCGCAGCUGCUGUCUGGAGUUUCCUGUGCUGCCAGGAGAAGAAGGAGUGGCCUUGUUGAGGCUGCUGAGGGGCAGAGGAGACAAAGAGCCGUCUUGGUCCCAGGGAGGGUGUGACCAGACAUCUGGGUGCAGGGGCGUGGAGGCCCUGUGCUGAGGUUGGAGCCCUCACCCUGCCCUGGUGGCCUAACCAACACUGGCCAGAGGAUCAGAGGACCGGGGGGCCCAGAGGACGGUGGGUCCUCUUCCUUGGCUUGAUCACACCCCGUCUUCACAGCCUCGGAGGAUGCCUGGCAGGGCUGCGACCACACGGCACGCCUGGGCUAAUACCCACGUGGACACAGGAGGCCCCCCA